rfam:Triticum aestivum genome assembly, contig: Triticum_aestivum_CS42_TGACv1_scaffold_423450_5BS
GAACUACUCCCUCCAUCGGGAAAUACUUGGUCGGAGAAAUGGAUGUAUUUAGAUGUAUUUUAAUUCUAGAUACAUCCAUUUUCAUUCAUUUAUGUGACAAGUAAUUCCAGACGGAGGGAGUACAAG